rnacentral:rRNA from 1 species
AUGAACGCUAGCGGGAGGCCUAACACAUGCAAGUCGAACGGGAUUGGGAGCUUGCUCCCAUGGGAGUGGCGCACGGGUGAGUAACGCGUAUGCAACCUACCUUUAACUGAGGGAUAGCCCAUAGAAAUGUGGAUUAAUACCUCAUAGUUCUUUUGAUCCGCAUGGAUUAAAAGAUAAAGCUCCGGCGGUUAAAGAUGGGCAUGCGUGACAUUAGCUAGUUGGUAAGGUAACGGCUUACCAAGGCUACGAUGUCUAGGGGUUCUGAGAGGAUGAUCCCCCACACUGGUACUGAGACACGGACCAGACUCCUACGGGAGGCAGCAGUGAGGAAUAUUGGUCAAUGGGCGCAAGCCUGAACCAGCCAUCCCGCGUGCAGGAUGAAGGCCCUAUGGGUCGUAAACUGCUUUUAUACACCAAGAAAAACACCCACGUGUGGGUGCCCGACGGUAGUGUAUGAAUAAGCAUCGGCUAACUCCGU